rnacentral:rRNA from 1 species
UACGAAGGGUGCUAGCGUUGUUCGGAAUUACUGGGCGUAAAGCGAUCGUAGGCGGUGUUCCCCGUCAGGGGUGAAAGCCUGGGGCUCAACUCCAGAAUUGCCUUUGAAACGGGGACGCUUGAGUCCGAGAGAGGGUGGCGGAAUUCCUAGUGUAGAGGUGAAAUUCGUAGAUAUUAGGAAGAACACCAGUGGCGAAGGCGGCCACCUGGCUCGGUACUGACGCUCAGGUUCGAAAGCUAGGGGAGCAAACAGG